AACUGGGAUUAGAUACCCCACUAUGCUUAGCCAUAAAUCAUCUUACAUACUAAUAUCGCCAGAGUACUACAAGCAACAGCUUAAAACUCAAAGGACUUGGCGGUAUCCCAAACCCACCCAGAGGAGCCUGUUCUGUAAUCGACAAUACCCGCUAAACCUCACCACUCUUUGUUUUUCAGCCUAUAUACCGCCGUCGCCAGCUAACCUUCUGAAAGAAAACUAGUUAGCAAAAUGAGAUCUCUCAACACGUCAGGUCAAGGUGUAGCAAAUAGAGUGGGAAGAAAUGGGCUACAUUUUCUAAUAAGAAUACCAACGAAUGGCCUAAUGAAAUUUAUUUAGCCUGAAGGAGGAUUUGGCAGUAAGCAAGAACAAUAAAAUCUUUCUUAAAUUGGCCAUGGGAUACGCACAACACNGCCCGUCACCCU
rnacentral:rRNA from 1 species